CAAGACCGGGCCAGCCGCCGCGUAACACCGGCGGCUCGAGUGGUGGCCACUUUUAUUGGGUUUAAAGGGUUCGUAGCCGGGUUGUUAAGUCUCUUGGGAAAUCUGGCGGCUCAACCGUCAGGCGUUCAAGGGAUACUGGCAAUCUUGGAACCGGGAGAGGUGAGGGGUACUUCGGGGGUAGGAGUGAAAUCCUGUAAUCCUCGAGGGACCACCUGUGGCGAAGGCGCCUCACCAGAAC
rnacentral:rRNA from 1 species